GGGUCGAGGGCCGCGCUUUGGGUCGCGCGGCGAGAAUGGACCCCCUUUUUGCUGUCUCGUAUGGCCGCAGGUCAGUCGCCCAACUGCCCUGCA
rfam:Pseudooctadecabacter jejudonensis strain CECT 8397 genome assembly, contig: 0002